UACGUAUGGAGCAAGCGUUAUCCGGAUUUACUGGGUGUAAAGGGUGCGUAGGUGGCAGUGCAAGUCAGAUGUGAAAGGCCGGGGCUCAACCCCGGAGCUACAUUUGAAACUGCUCGGCUAGAGUACAGGAGAGGCAGGCGGAAUUCCUAGUGUAGCGGUGAAAUGCGUAGAUAUUAGGAGGAACACCAGUGGCGAAGGCGGCCUGCUGGACUGUUACUGACACUGAGGCACGAAAGCGUGGGGAGCAAACAGG
rnacentral:rRNA from 1 species